rnacentral:rRNA from 1 species
AGAGUUUGAUCAUGGCUCAGGAUGAACGCUGGCGGUCUGCUUAACACAUGCAAGUCGAACGGGGGACUUCGGUUCCUAGUGGCGGACGGGUGAGUAACGCGUGAGAAUCUGCCCUCAGGAUGGGGACAACAGUUGGAAACGACUGCUAACACCCGAUGUGCCGAGAGGUGAAAUAUUAAUAGCCUGAGGAUGAGCUCGCGUCCGAUUAGCUAGUUGGAGUGGUAAUGGCACACCAAGGCGACGAUCGGUAGCUGGUCUGAGAGGAUGAUCAGCCACACUGGGACUGAGACACGGCCCAGACUCCUACGGGAGGCAGCAGUGGGGAAUUUUCCGCAAUGGGGGCAACCCUGACGGAGCAAGACCGCGUGAGGGAUGAAGGUCUGUGGAUUGUAAACCUCUUUUGAUAGGGAAGAACGCAAUGACGGUACCUAUCGAAUCAGCAUCGGCUAACUCCGUGCCAGCCGCCGCGGUAAUUC